AGUGAACGCUGGCGGUAGGCCUAACACAUGCAAGUCGAACGGCAGCACAGUAAGAGCUUGCUCUUACGGGUGGCGAGUGGCGGACGGGUGAGGAAUACAUCGGAAUCUACUUUUUCGUGGGGGAUAACGUAGGGAAACUUACGCUAAUACCGCAUACGACCUACGGGUGAAAGCAGGGGAUCUUCGGACCUUGCGCGAUUGAAUGAGCCGAUGUCGGAUUAGCUAGUUGGCGGGGUAAAGGCCCACCAAGGCGACGAUCCGUAGCUGGUCUGAGAGGAUGAUCAGCCACACUGGAACUGAGACACGGUCCAGGCUCCUACGGGAGGCAGCAGUGGGGAAUAUUGGACAAUGGGCGCAAGCCUGAUCCAGCCAUACCGCGUGGGUGAAGAAGGCCUUCGGGUUGUAAAGCCCUUUUGUUGGGAAAGAAAAGCAGCAGGUUAAUACCCCGCUGUUCUGACGGUACCCAAGGAAUAAGCACCGGCUAACUUCGUG
rnacentral:rRNA from 1 species